rnacentral:tRNA from 1 species
GUGAGUGUAGCUCAGUCGGUAGAGCACUGGAUUGUGGCUCCAGAGGUCGUGGGUUCGAUCCCCAUCACUCACCCCA